rnacentral:rRNA from 1 species
AUUGAACGCUGGCGGCAUGCCUUACACAUGCAAGUCGAACGGUAACAGGUCUUCGGAUGCUGACGAGUGGCGAACGGGUGAGUAAUACAUCGGAACGGGCCUAGUAGUGGGGGAUAACUACUCGAAAGAGUGGCUAAUACCGCAUGAGUACUACGGAUGAAAGCAGGGGAUCGAAAGACCGUGUGCGAAUAGAGCGGCCGAUGGCAGAUUAGGUAGUUGGUGGGAUAAAAGCUUACCAAGCCGACGAUCUGUAGCUGGUCUGAGAGGACGAUCAGCCACACUGGGACUGAGACACGGCCCAGACUCCUACGGGAGGCAGCAGUGGGGAAUAUUGGACAAUGGGCGCAAGCCUGAUCCAGCGAUGCCGCGUGCAGGAUGAAGGCCUUCGGGUUGUAAACUGCUUUUGUACGGAACGAAAAGCCCCAGGUUAAUACCCUGGGGUCGUGACGGUACCGUAAGAAUAAGCACCGGCUAACUACGUGCCAGCCGCCGCAGUAA